UACGUAGGGGGCUAGCGUUGUCCGGAAUCAUUGGGCGUAAAGAGCGUGUAGGCGGCCCGGUAAGUCCGCUGUAAAAGUCAAAGGCUCAACCUUUGAAUGUCAGUGGAUACUGCCGGGCUAGAGUCCGGAAGAGGCGAGUGGAACUCCUGGUGUAGCGGUGGAAUGCGCAGAUAUCAGGAAGAACACCAACGGCGAAGGCGGGUCUCUGGACAGUUCCUGACACUGAGGCACGAAGGCCAGGGGAGCAAACGGG
rnacentral:rRNA from 1 species